rnacentral:ncRNA from 2 species
CGUGAACCCGGCGAUGGAGUUCGCCGUGAACCGCCUAUGUCGAUAGAGGCUGAUGACUCCUACCCUACA